UUUUUUUUUUGUUUUUUACCAAAAUAUUUAUAAAGAUACACCCAAAAGGAGGGGAAUAUCAGAGCUAAUCAUCAUCAAUAUCACUCAUCUUUUAAGUCCAAAAUCCAAGUCCUCUUUCUAUCUUUGAAAAAUACACAGAAUGUCAUAACCUCCAAUGAUUUUGAAUAUUUUGCUUGAAUUGUGACCAAAUAAAUUAAAUCUAGCUUGAUAUAUUUUCAAUUUACUUGAAUACGAUUUAGGAGGCUAAUAAAUAUAGAGGUUAUGACUACAAUGCAUGCAUGUUUCAAUUGUAAAUUAACAGUAAGUUAAUGUUAUACAAAGAACAUAAAAGAGUGCUCAAACCUUUUUAUUAAAAAAUGUUACAUUUAUGUCGUCCGGUUGUACCAUUGUGGGAAAUCAAAAUCAAAAUUCAUAAAGAAUUAAUAAAAUGUCAUCUUUAUGGAAGACAUAUAAACAAAUUAGAGAGCUCUCAAAAAUUCCAAUUUUAAAGUGGAAGAUGAUCUCGUCUUGUUUGUCUUCUAAGGACAGAUGUAGUCAAUCUUAUGAUAAGAGCAUGCACAAUUUUGAGCACCAAUAUCCUCUCCAACACAAGGAGCCUCUGCUUUUCCGUCUUUGUACCACUGUUUUCUUUGUUGAACUAAUUCACUGAUGAAAUUGUCAAGCAUUUCUCGUGUGAUGCCUGGCAUAACGAUAACAUGUGCCAUAUCUUUGACACAUGAAAGUUGCCAACGACGAACAAAUUCAUGGUCACGAGGCCUUUCAAGUACAACUAUGAUGCUAAGCUCAUUCAGCAUGACACUUAUCCCUGCUUGUUGAAGACGAUCUUUCAAAUAUUUGGCAUUGUCGAGGCAUCUUUUAACAUCCUUUUGAAGGCCAAUUUGACCUUUAGCACUCAAGCUAUACCAUAAGAAAAUUGGAGUUAAACCGUUACGACUACCAGAAAUAGUGGCAUCCACAGAAGCAAUGUAUUCCACAUUUGUUGAGAGAUUAUUGAUGUAGCUUUUUCUUGUUAUUUGGACACCACAAGGCAUUGGGCAUCCUAGGAACUUGUGGCCAGAAAUAGUGACACUUCCAAUUGGCUUCUUGAAACUAAUCAUCUGUUCAAAUUGAACAAAGAAUGAUUAGAAUGUCGCUCUGAGAAUUACUAAAGAGUUUGUUAGAAAUAAGAAGUGAAACUUACAUUGUUUAUAAAAGGGGUCAUAAGACCACAUAGUGCAGCAUCACAAUGGAUGUAAAACCUAUCUUGUGAAUAGCCACAAUCUUUGAGUGUUUCAAGAAUAACAUCAACAUCAUCAAUAGCUCCCUUGAACGUAGUUCCUAUAUAUAGUUAAAAGAACCAUAAAGGGAAAAGUCGUAAGGUGACUAAUUAAGUCCAUAAAAGAAGAAAGACAAAUGAUAGAGGUUGAAGUAAAUACAUACCAAUUGUGACAUUUAUAAUUGCUGGUUUGUCCUUAUUUUGAAGCAACUUUUCUCUUAAAUCUGAAUAAUCCAUCUCCCCAUUUACUGAUGUGUUGAUUGUUUCUGAAUCCAUUCUAUACAUUCUUGCAGCUUUGAAGACCGAGUAGUGAGAGUCUUUUGAUGCAUAUAAUAUUCCAUCAGGAAGUAGCUCUCUCCUGCAAAAAAUAAUAUAACGAAAAUUUAUUAAGAGCACCGAAAUAAUAAAAUUCAUUAUAUGAUAUGCUUGUGUCAUAAGUAUAUAUCAGCUUACCCUAUCAAAAUACCAUGGAGAUUUCCUUCGGUGCCACCAUUGGUAACAUAGCCCCAAUAUUGAUCCUUUUCAAUCUCCCAGAGUUGUGCAAACCAAUUCAAAACAGCCACUUCAAAGUCUUUAGAAUGGAAAUCGACGGUGUUUUGAAGGAAAGGAUCACCACAAUUGUUUAGGUGAAACUGUAAAAGUGGUGCUAAAGAUGCAUAGUGAUCAUAACAUAUGUUCACCGGAUAACCUAAAUGAUAAUUGACUCGUUGGGUAAGUGUAUCCAAAUAAUUAACCAAGAUAGUGUCCAAGGAAGGGCCAUCAUUCUUCAAUCCAGGCUCCAUCACCUCAAGUUGCAAGUUCUUCCUUGGUCCUGCACCUGGCUGUGCCACCUUUGGUUUCUUGUUGUCCACAUUCGGAAACAAUCUUCGCCGUGCUAAACUUCUUGGUGUCAUUGCUAAACUUCUCGGUGAUGGCUCAAAAUCCUGUCAAAUAUCAUAAUCCAAUUUAAGAUAUAUUAGUUAAGUAAAUAAAAACAUAUUUUAUCUAACGAGGAGGUCAUACAAUUCAACAACUUUGAUUCUCACAUCUAAACAUUGUUUCUUUUAGGUGUUAGAAGACUUUGGUUCAAAAUAAUUGUUUGUACAUGCAAUUAACAUGAAGAGUACAUACCAUUUCAAGUGAGAGACUACCCAUUCUCUUAAAGCACAAAUUUAUAAGUUUUCUUUUUUUGUUUGCUUAGAAUGGAAAACCAAUUUCUGUGUGAAUUUUGUUCAUGUCUUGAGUACUUAUAUAUAUAGCUCUAUGAAAGACCAAAUGUUUUUGCACUAACCACCCUUUUCCUCUUCUUUUCCCUCUCUUUUUCCUGUAGGUUUCUUCAAUAUAUCCCACUUGCCUUAUUCUAAAGACCAUUAUGUAUAUUGCAAAAUGAAUGUGGUCUUGACUCCGUGUUAGAAUGUGACUGCUCAACUUUGUAUUUUUGAAUGGGUAGGUGAGAUUAAUUAAUUAGAAUCUUAAUCAAAAUAAUCAUGCUAAUAUUGGUGCCAAAACUCAAGCGUGUAAAAAAUUCUCUUUUGACUCAAUUAGAAUUAGUAUGUCUCUGGUAUAAACCAUUGUGUAAAUACAACCAAUAGAAUGUUAAUUUUGUAUCAACUAGCUUCCGAGAAAAAAAUAAUGAUAACACGCGACCUCAAGGAAUUUUCGCAACCUGUUAAUCACUAGAUUAAACCUUCAACUUGUGUCAAGAGAUGUCAAUAUUUGUAUAUAUGUAUUUAUUAAAUCAAAAUUCAACUUCUAUAUACAAUAUAAUUUUCCGACAAAGGAGUAUCGCUUGACACCUGUGGGUCGCUCCGCUCCUGGCAGUGGCGGCUCUACCCCUUACAAAAAAAAAAAGCAACCGCCUUAGGCCCCAAAAUUUGAGGGGCCUCAUUUUAAAAAAAUUAAUAUGUUAUGCAUACUUUUUCUAAAAUAAUAUUGAGUAUUAUUUAUAGAAAAUAUAGACUUUUCAUAAAAGAGCAAAGAAGUAAUAGAAGUUUGAUAAAUUAUGAGUGCUAUGUCUCAAGAAAGAUUAAAUAAUUUGCUAUAAUAAACUUCAUAAAAAAAAAAUUCAAAUUUAAGGCCUCCAUUUGGAUUUGGCUUUAGGCCACCGAUUUAUUAGAGCCGCCCCUGGCUCCUGGUAGGAAGGUUCAAUAGAUGAGUUAACAGUAAUUAAUUAAUUUUAUUAUUUCUAACUUUCAUCUAUAUAAAACAGAGAGGUACGGUCAAUAUUUCCAUUAAUCAAGGAAAGUGGUACGGAUAUUUCAUCGUUAUUUUGUUGUUCUUGGAUGAUAUUUGAGUACGUUUACAUAUAAAAUAAUCACGGGGAAGGUUGAUGAAAUUAAAAUUUCGAAAUAGAUAUGAUUUUAGACUUUUAUAUGUAAGAGUACAUGGACUUAAUUGUGGUGUCACAAAUGUAAUAUAUUUUGUACAUAAAAUUAUUUACAGUUACUCGAAGAAAAAUCUUAUUAAUGAAACUACUUAUACAUACUAUAACAAAAACAAUUUUUAGCUGCAAUAAAUAUACAAAUUAACAAAGACUGUUAAAGUUUUAUCAGCAUCAAUUAAUUAUCGCUAUAAAUUUUAGGGACAUUUACAAUUUACAAGAAUGCUAAUUACCUCUAAAAAUAUAUAUUUAACAAUAAUUAUAAUAUUACGAUUAAUUAAUUGCCACUAAAGUCUGUAGUCACAAUCAUGUCAUUUUUUUGUUCUACAAUAUUUUCGUUCUGCUCGUUAAUUACUGAUUCAACGUCAUCAACUUACAUGUUUCAUUAUCUAAUUUAUUUUACUUAUGUAUAUGCACACCAUAGAAUAAAAAGGAUGGAAAAAAGACAUUAUGACCAAAUAUUAAAGUUAAAAAAUAAUUACGCUAAUUUUUAAAGUAAAGUCAAAAAAUUUAAAUGAAUUUCACUAUGUAAUAUCAAACUUUCAGUCUUACGCGACACGAAUUUAAAUUAGUUAAAUUUCAAUCCAAAUAUCGAACACUUAAAAAAAAAAAAAUCAAACUCAUGACGAUUUUCCCUUGUGUAACCAAUAUUUUUGUGUGCAAGGUUGUUAAAGUUGAAAGUUAGUGCAAACAUUUUUUGACCAAAUAUUUACAAAUUGGAACAAGGCAUCGGCAUUUUGUUUUCACUCUCUAGAUUCCUUUUUUUCUCUAAAUUCCAAACAAGUAGACUCUACUUCACUUAACGUACAUAUUACCUAACAAUGCAAUAGUUCCAAAUGUCAAUAAUACUUACCAAAAAUGAACUGGUCAAACCUUUGAAUUGGUCUUUUUAAAUCUGUUCACACUAAUUAAUCAUUCAAAAAUAUCAGCCGAUAAAUCCAAUAUAUGUAUUACUAAUGUAUUUUUAUUUUUUCUGUCACAACUUAUUGUCCUUUAUGCGCUGAGUAGACUAUAGUAUAUACGAAGCUUAGUAUUAUGCAACAGUCACAAUUUAACCUCUAAUAUUUCUAUCUCGUGAAGUUUGAGAAAUGUUUCAAUUUAUAUUUUUUUACUAACGUAAUUUCAUUUGUGAUGGAUAAUCUUCUUAUUUGUUGACCUAUUCAAAUUUUGGAAUUAGACUUGGUUAUUAAUGGUUGUAUCUCUGUUUUUAGAGUGGAGUUCGUAGUUGAUGAAUUAAAAUUAAAAAUAGCACUCCAUUUCCUUCUGAUUUCGAUUAUAAAGUUAAUUAUUUUUUGCCUUUUACUUGAGAAUAUAAUGUUUUUUUUGUUGGCAUACGCCUCUAAAAUUCUCAUAGACAUUAUAAAUCUAUCAUUUCUUAUCAAUUGACUAAUUAUCUACAGGAUAUAAUUUAAUACUUGUAUAGGUUAAUUGGGUUUAAGUGAAUGAUUAAAAUUUUAAAAAUAACUUCAACCAGUAAAAAAUUGUAAAAAUGAAGACCAGGUGUGUGUGCAUAAAAGAACAAUUCUCUCAGUAUUAUAUUUUGUCUUUUGGUAAAUUGUCAUUAAAAAUCUUUAAAACUGCAUAUUAACUCAUUUUUUUCUAACCAACGAAGUUGAACAUUCUUGACUACUAAAUAAUGUUACUUUAUGGUCUUCAUAUCUAAUUCAUUGACAUCAUAUUGUUUCCGUUGUUUGGUAUCAUUAACCUAAUUUUCAACGAUAAAUCCAUUAUUAAAAAAUUACUAUUUUUUUCGCUGAAAUUUUCACUAAUAAUUGUUCAUAUAUAGUUAUUUUUAUAGAUAUUUUGAUUAAAUUGGUUGAGAAAAAAUAGUAACAUUUUCAUACGGAAAAAAUUGCAGAAACUUUCCUAAGAAUCUGUUUCCCACCAUGCAUUUUUCCAUUGAGCUUACCGUUGAAAAUAUGUUUGUUUCUAAUCGUGGUUAACGUAUCCACCCAAGGCAAAAUCAAACUUAUCUUUUGAUAAUCAAACUUUUAGGCUUCAAACCUUAUCCCAUGUGACAUUUAUUUUCUUAAAAAUUAAAUUAUAAAGAUUCAAUCCACUAGAGCUCUCUACUUUAGUUAAAUUUAAAAUCCAAGUUCUUUUAAUGAAGACAUCAUUCAGAAUUAUCGCACGAGUCACAUUGUAAAUAUAAUUUCUUUUCUCCCUUCCAAUUUGCAAAGUUUCAAUUUACAACUACCUCCACUUUGAAGUCCUCUUUUCGACCAUAUAAUAAUUAAAAUAAGAAAAAAGGAUUAUUUUUCUCUUUUCUAUUCAAAAAGAUAUAAAUAUAGCAUCCCUUAUAAUAUCCCAACAAAAAAGCCCCUAACAUAACCUAAAUAUCCAAAAAUACCCCUCUUCGCAAACAGUAGUCUGGCAUGAAAAGAAGUUAUAACAAUUUUUUUAUUUGAUUAUUGUCUCUAACAAAAUUAUGUUUUCCCUUGAUUUAGCUCAUAUAUAUAUAUAACUUCAACUCUAAUUUUAUUUUAUUUUUAUUGAAAACUCAUUAAAUAUGUAUAAUAAUAUAUCAAAAAAUAGGUGGAGAGAUUAUGCAGAGGCGGAGCCAAGAUUAAGAGUUUGAGGUUUAAAUUUUAGAAUAGAAGAGAAAAUAUUGCAAGACAUGCUUCCAUUUUUAAAAAAAUAAAAGAAAAACUUUUGUUGAUAUAGUGAAGUUCGAACCCACAACACUAGUAUGAAAGCAUUUUCAUGGCCCCUUUCUUACCAUUGAGCCAUCAAUUAAUUUUUUCAAGGAUUCACAAGUUGAUAUACAUAUAUUUUUAUUUAAUUUUCUAAUAUAAAUACAAAAUCUAUGAAAAAGCUAUUGAGUUUGUCCAAACUCACGAACCCCUACUUAGCUUCGGCUUCGGUGCGCGCCUACCUACCCACUGUAUUUUUAGGCAAAGGCAGGUACUAUAUUCUUCUAAUUAGUCAGACAUUCGACUUUUAGAGAAAUGAUGAAACUUUACAAGUUUGACUUUGCAACUUCACAAAAAAAAAAAUCAAAGCAAAAUUAAAAUUUAAAAAAAUAAGAUUUUUCCUUGAAUUGCGUUCAUAUUACUUUGAGAUAUCAAAAGAAUAUGCUCUCUAGAAAUGAAUAAUGACCUUUUUUCCCCUUUACUCGUUCUAAUUAACUAUUUUCAUAAAUCAAAAGGCUAGUGUUAUUGAAGAAAUAAUAAGAAAAUAAAAUAAUCUUUCAGUCUAACGAUUUAUUUUUUUAGAUAAGAUAAUCAAAUACUUUAAUUGAUUUUUUAAAAUGAGAUAUAUAAUCAAAUACAUUAAUUGAGUAUCAAAUUCAAGCCCAACAUGUUAUGUUGUCACAAUAUAUAUUAGGUUCCUAAGCUGUGUUAUCCCACUCAUUACUAGAAAAUAAGGAAUUAUACAACUAUAAAAUCUAUCGGUAAUCCCUAAUUAAUUCAUGACUAAAUAAAUCCUAGCUAAUUGAAUUUUCUUAUAAUCCGUGGCGAACUCGAGUUACGUGAAAUGCAUUUUAGAAACUUUAAUAGAAACUCCCUCCGUCCACAAUUGUUUGUCAGAAUUAUAUAACUAUAAAAUCUAUCGGUAAUCCCUAAUUAAUUCAUGACUAAAUAAAUCCUAGCUAAUUGAAUUUUCUUAUAAUCCGUGGCGAACUCGAGUUACGUGAAAUGCAUUUUAGAAACUUUAAUAGAAACUCCCUCCGUCCACAAUUGUUUGUCAGGGGUAAGGUCAUGCACAUCCCCUCAAGGAAAAUUUUAAUAGAAGGUGUAAUUUGACUAAUAUAACCCCUACUAUACCAAGAAUACCAAAAGUCUACAUAAUUUUUCAAUUGAACUACACUAUCAUUAAGGGCAGAAUUGGAAAAAGGUGAUUAAUUGUUUCUUGAUUAUUAAAUUGACAAUUAAUCUUGGACAACUAUUUUUAGUAUACCUGCCAAAUAAUUGUGGACAGAGGGAGUAGUUUAUAAUGAUGGUGCUUUGCAUUAGUGGCCACUUAUGUAAUUCAUUCCAUUGGAUAUAUUUUAGUGCAUUUUAGCAAUGAUGGCCUUUGAAAUUCUCUGUAAAAUCAAAGCAUGUCUAUCGACCUCCCACACCCCCCCCCCCCCAAUUUCUUUUCACGUUAGCUGACAAGGAAGUUUAUAGAAUUAUUUUAGCCUAGGCCAAAUUAAAGUGGAUAAAGUAAGGAAGCGUUAAGCCAUGAUUUUCUUUUUAUUUUUUUUGGAAUUGAACUUUGAGAAAUUUUGAAAUUCAGCUUCAAGUUGAUUUUCAGAUUUUCAAAAAUUUGAAAAACAACGAAAAAAGUGUUUUCACUUCAGAUUAUCCUCAAAAAUUCAAAAACAACUUCAAUUUAUAUUCAUGUCCAAACAAAAUUUCAAUUUUCAAAUAUUAUUAUUUUUCACUUUGAAAACAAAAAAUACUUUUUUGCAAAUUUCACAAUAAAACAUGAUCAAGCGCUCACCGCAAUCGAUUGAUGACUUAUAUGCACAUCAUCAUUACGAACGACUUUGGAUUUUGUAAUUGGUUUUUAACUAAGGGGAGAAAUUCACCAAAUCCUUUAAUAUUGGCGCCUUUCUUAAGUGCCCUAGUGACGUGUUAUUUAUACAUAGAGAUUCAAAAGCUACAAAAAGGUCUUGUCUUAAUUAUUUUUUUAAAACUUCUCAAGACAUUCUAUAUACUAGCUAGUCGUUAUAAAAUGUGAUCCUUUCUAAGUGUCUGAUUUGAAGAAUCAUAAAUAUAAAUACUUAUACAAAUGAAGGCGGGAAAGUAAAACAGAGUAAGGUAAGUGUAGGGUUGUUCAUGGUUAUAGUUAAAAAAUUAAAUCGAACCGCAAUCUGAAUCAAAUCGAUUAAAAAAAUUGAUAUUUGGUUUGGUUUGGUUUUGAUUUUACUAAAAAAUAAUCGUAAAAAUAAUAAAAUCGAACCGAUAAAUUAGAUGUAUAACUUUUAUAAUUAUUUGUAUAUUAUUCAUAAGUAAAAUAUAAAUAGUUGUUAAAUUUUAAUUAACUGAAAUAUUUAACUUUAUCAUCUUCUCAAGCCCAACACUUUAGUCCAACUAUAACAAUCCUAAGUUCAAGUCUAUCAAAAUCCAUUUUAGUCUUUACCUACCCUGCUAACCAAUAAGUUAGUAUUGCUUAAUUAAACCGACAAUAGCUUUUUUUGGAUUGCUCAUUUACUAGGUGUUUGUGUCUAUCGAAAUAAGUACGUCCUGAAAAAAAAUAUUACUUUCAAACUGAAUAAAUCAGAAAAAUUGAACCAAACCGAAUCAAACCGACAAUAACCAAACCGACAGUUAUUUUUUUCGUUUGGUUUUAAAAAUUUAAAACACCAACUAGAUUGGUUUGGUUUUUAUUUUAAUCAAUAACUGAACCACGAACACCCCUAGGUGAGAGAAUGGAUGCUGCUACAAUUAUAUUUUUUAAAAUUUAGCUGAUUAAUCUUAUUCUUUGAUGCCUCAAUCUAUUUUCAAUUUCGUAAUUCUUGCGUCUUUGCUUGACCAUUUACUAAUUACGUAAUUUAUUGUGUGGACAUCUCAAAUUGUCAUCUUUGCCUUUACUUUUCGUUUCUUUUAUUCUUAAUAAAAGUUUAAAACUUGUAAUUAUUGGUUGGCUCUUUUUUCCAGUUGGAAGGUUUCCGCUAUUAACAUGGAACGGAAAAUUUACGAUGAGAAUGUGCCCGAAAUAUAAAAACACAAAAUUGCAACUGGAGCAAUAGUAUUUUACUAAGAAAUUACUUACUUCUAGAAAAUAGGAAGUAUUUUACUAUUUUAUCCUUUAUUAAAUGCCUUGAAGAAUGAAGCAGCUCUUUUUUUUAAUAUAUAACAACACUUAAUUUUGAAACAAAAUGAAAAGAUAAAAACAUGUACUUAUUUUGCAAAUGAAGGAGUUCUUACUUUCUUGGUUUUAUUUAUAUUAUGAUGUUUGACUGAAUAUGAAAUAUCACCCAAAAAAAAAAUCUUGUACAUAGCAAGAUAGAAAUAAGGCUAUAUAUACACACCUUUUCUUUAAAGCUCAUUUAUCGAAUUACACUAAAUAUAUUACUUAUUGGAAAAACUACCUAUCUAGACAUACUUAACUACCAAAUAUACAUAUUUUAUCUCUACUUUAAAAAUAUUACAUAGAAUACCACUUUUAAAAAAAUAUAUCAUAUUUAAAAAAAAAUUAAAUCAGAUACACAAUCCCUUUAAAAAUGAUAAUGUAUAAUUAUCUUAAAAUUACAUCUCCUCAAUUAGUAGGACACUAACAAUUCAAAUUAAUUUCUCUUUAUUCUUUUCAGACGUUUCCCUCCCCAAUCCCAAAACAGAUACCUCAUGUAUCCCACCAUUACCCCUUCUUCUUCUUCUUCAUUAAACGUUUCCUUCCCCUAUCACAAAAAAAGUUUGUAUCUUAUUCCCACUCCAUUAGGUUUUAUAUUUUUUGAUUUUGUUGUUUCUCAAACACUUUAAUGGCUGAUCAUUCUCAAAAUCGGACGAUUCUUGUUAAAGGUACUACACAUCAACAAUAUUAUACUAAAUCAGACAACUUUUAUUUGUUUAUUUUUAUUCAUUAAUAAUUUCUCAUUGCAGGGACUGACUCUUCAUCCAUCAACAUUCAAGCCGAGAAAAGAUCUAAGUAUAGGAACGACCCAAUCAAGAUGGAAGAAUUACGUUAAGUUUUAAGUAACAGAACAAAUACACCAUUACAUAUGCAACAAUGUUGGAUACAAAUCAUGAGUACAUGUAUCUAGUUAAGAGUUCAUGUAUCUGACUUAAGAUUAUAUGUAUCUAUGAGAAAAAAAAUUCAGAUGCUAAAAGGGGAAGAAUUUUGAAAAAUUUUACUCUUUUUUCUUUUGGAUUAAUGAUAAACAGAUACUCUACCAUCGUGAUUUUUCCUAAAUUUGUGUGUUUCAGUUACAUUUUCAUAUUUAGAUACACAUAAUUAUAUGUAAUGCUUAUUAUGUAUCCGGAAUACAUGUUUUUGAAUAUAAUGUAUGAAACUAAUACUUGAUACAUCAAAUUAAUACUAGAUACAUAAAAAAGAUACAUGAAACUAAAAUUAGUUCAUAUAAAUAGAUACAUGAAAUUAAUACUAGAUACAUAUAACAAAUACAUUAAAUAAAUCUAGAUACUUCUAUGAUACAUAUGAAUGUACAUGUAUGAUGCUCAUGUAUCUAACUGUUUAGUUGAUUGGAUACAUCAUAUAUUUAUAUUUGAUAAUAGAUACAUCAAAUUGAUGGAUUCAUUAUUUUAAGAGUAAUAAAAUGAAAUUAAUCAAAUUAAAUGACUAAUAUAUAAAUGUUUUUUAAUCUUUUAUUAAUAAUAUUAAUAAAUUUAUUAUUUUAAAAAAUAAUAAAAUUAAAUUAAUUAAACAUACCUUGAUUUCCGCCUUACAUUAAGGGAUUUGAUUAAUUUAAAUUUUCAAAAAUAAUUGUCCAUGAAUUCUGAAAAUCCUUAAUUACUUCUAUAAUUAAGGAAAUCAGUUACAACCAAUUAAUUUAAACAAAUAAAAUACGUAUCUCAGCUUUAAAUUUUGACAGAUACAUGUAUCUCACGGAUUUCAACUCGUGUAUCCUGCAUGAAAUAUGGUAGAGGAAGUAAUAUUUGAAACUAUUGGGAGUCUUAGUAAUUAGGACCUAAACUAGUGGGAUUUAUGUAGUUUGCCCAUAAUCAAUUUAAUAAAUUUCAAUCACAAAGAUAAUACAACUGCUUUUAGUAAAAGCAAAUAUGAAGAAAUUGAUAAAUUACACAAUUAUUAUAAGAAUAAAACAACACUACUAACAGGUCUCUUCCUCAAUUUUCCCCUUAUCAGCAUACUUUUGAAGAUUUUCACCAUGCAACUUCCCAUAUCUAAAUUCAUCAAAUAUUUCAACUCCCAUAUUUAUGUAAAAAUCAUAUGACUUCUUAUUCCAAACUGCUACUAUUCCAUCCACCGAUACGAACCCAUUGUCCGCAGCAAUGGACGAAACUGUUCCAAACAACAAUUUUCCCAUUCCCAACUUUCUAUAACUCUCUCUGAAGUAAAGACUCUCAAAAUAAAAUCCUGGCUUGUCAUUGAAGCAAGAAUAAUUCGCGUAGAAGAAAGCAUAUCCCGCUAUGUAAGCAUCACUCUUAUCAUCAUAUUUGGACCUGAACUCCUCAACUUCUCCUUCAAUGACAGGGAAUUUAAGGUCAAACGUUGUAAGGACAGGCUUGAACCCUUCGUUUGUGGUAUUUUUGGGUUCGUUAAAAGGGGUUGGAGAGACUUCAAGUAGAAGUACGGAUGGACCGUAGAAAAGUGGAAGAGGAUUUUCUUUAAAAAGCAAAUUGGCUAAGGAGGACUCGGUAGCUUUGUAUAAAUGAGUAUAGUUAUGGUAUUCAUGGAUUUGGUAAAACAAUUGGUAUAUAUGAGACAGAUCAGAUUUUGUAGCAAGACGGACUCGUGUGUUUAUCUUUCCGGUGAUGGUAACGUUAUUGUUUUCCGAUGAUGCAUCGGUGAUUAUUGUUUCAGAUGGAGUUGGUUGUUGAGGAGCAGGAGCCAUGAGAUAUUGUUUAGCUAAGUUUGAGAGGAAUAUUGUGGUUUAAGAUAAAAGAAAUGUUGAAAGGUUUAGUAAUAAUGGGAUAAUAUUGUGUUUGGGAUCAUAAUGGUUAUUUAUAGUGGAGAAUUUGCUUCUUUUUAAAAAAAAUCAUUAUUUGGUUAGUGAGGUUCGUGGAAAUGGGUUCCAACGAAAAAAAAAAGUUGGUGGAGAUAACGGUGCAUUCUAUAUCUAUUGAGUGCGUCGGCUAAAGGGUCAAAUCAUUCAUGCCUUUAGUCUCAAUUUUGUUUUUUUCUUAUAGAAAAAAUUAGCUAGGAUAAUAUUUUUUGAGUUAGCCAUCAAAAUUUGGCCACCACUGAAUUUUUAUGUAAUGAUGAUUAACUACUUUUUAAUAGUAAAAAAUGGACGGAACAAUACUCAUGUUUAAUUAUUGUACUGGUGGAGUUUAAACUUUGACAAGUGGAACUCAAAAAAUAAUUUACUCAAAUCAACUAAUUUCACAAUUUAAGUGUAGAAAUUCAAUAAAAUUUCAAACUUCAGAAAUGAUUCGAGGAAUUCAAAUUUAAUCAGUUUAAUUUUAUAAAUAAUUCAUGAAGUUUUGAAAUGAUAAAUAUUCCAAAAAAAAUUCCAUGUUUUAACUUAUUUCCCAAUUUUUUGAAGCUUCAAUAAAUUGUACUCACUCAUUGUAGCCACCUAAUAUUUUUCAUCAUUUAUUUCUUCAAAGACGAAAAUUUGUUCCUUCUAUACCAUGAAACAAAGGGGAAAAAAUAGAGAAAAAAAACAAGUGGGAGUACUGGGUGCAAGAGAUGUUUUCGCUUGGACCAUGCAAAAAAAAAAAUAUCAUUAAAAUGUUAACAAUAUUGUACGAAUAAACUGACUAUUCUUAACAUAAUAAAAAAAAAAAUAAAGAUGUCGACUUUGUAUGAGGAAAGACUUUCACCAACCUUAUACUCCCUUGUUUCGAUAAACUAAUUUGACUUGACACAUCAUUUAAGAAAAUAUAAGCAAGUUUUUUUAAUUUAUGAUCCUAAAUUAAUAUUAUGUUAAAUGUAACGUAAUUUCCUUCAAUCUUGUCGUCUUAAAUAUGCUAUAUGAAAAAUUAAAAUUAAAAUGAUAUCCAAAACAAAAAAAAGGUCAUUCUUUUUUUAACGGGGAGCAAUAAAUAACAUUAUCGUUAUUGACAAUUUUUCAGCAAUAUGGAUGAAUAUUCUAUGGAUUACAUAAAUGAGGUGUGGAAGUCAAGUGAAGUCGUCAACAUUGACAAUGAGUAAUGUUUACCAAGAUGCAUGAAAUUUCAACAAGGAUAAUAUAUAUUCACACUGAAAAUGAACAUGCUUUAGAGAAAAUUAUUUUCAUCUUAAAUGAACUUAUUUAUGAAUUUUCCAGGAACAUAUGCUUCCGGAAAUAGAUAAUCAAUCACGCAAAUUUGUUGAACAUUUUAAGACAACGACAAUUCUAGUAGGAGUGUCAAUUGUACCGUUUAACUAGUUAUUUUUUAAAAGGGUAAUGCUAAAUGAUCAGAAAAUUUAAAAGUCUAUAAUAUCUUUUUUAUUUUAAAAUAAACUGAUCUUUUAUCCAUUUUUUAAUUAAAAAGUAUUAAAUUUAAAAGGGUAAAAAUGUUCAAAAAGAUAAAAUAAAAUAGUGUGAAAUAUAUUAUUUUACCAUUCUGGCCAAAUUUUCUGGCCAAAAUAAUUUUUCCUUUUAAAAAAUUAUGUCAUUAUUAACAUAUUAAUUUUUUGAUUAUUUUAUUUCGUUAACAAGGAAUAAAAAUUUUUUGAUUAUUUUUUGAUUAUUUUAUUUCGUUAACAAGGAAUAAACUUUUUGUAACCAUCUCAUCAUAUUCGUUUUUUUUUGUAUUGGUACGAUUCAAUUGAUUUUCAAUAUUUUUUAAAACAUCAGGAAAGAAUAUAAUUACAAGUAACAGAUAGAUCAUAAUAUUAUAUAACACAUCCAUUUUUGUAGUUUUUAGGAGAACUCGAAAGAUGACAGUGAUAGUGAUGUAUCCGGAAAUAAGAGAAGAAAUAUAUCUAUUAUCUUAUAACUUGCUUCUAAAACUUGUUGAUAGCUUACUACCAUUCAAGUUGAACUUUUGACUUGUAGUUGAUUUAUCCCCCUAAGCCCAAAAUGAAAACUUUAAUAUAAUGUAUCAUUGAAUUAUCCUAUAGUUUUAGAUUAUUAAGCACAAAUUCGAUUAGUGAUGUCAAAUAAACAUUGGAUACUAGGAAUAUAGUUUUAAUAAGACGGAAUAUAUAGAGUCCCCUUAAAUUGGUACUUUUUUUAUUAUUUUAUAUUAAUAAGUUAUGGUCUAUUCACCCUUAACCAGAGGUCUUGGGUUCGAGCCCUGAGUAUGGAGAAAAUCUUGUUGGGAGCGCCACCCCCGAAUGGGCCUGCAGUGCGCGAUCCGGAUUUAGUCAAAGCUCCAAUGUGGGCUCCGGACACCGGGUGGGAAAUGUUGGGUUUAGCAAGGUGUGAAUGGAAAAUAAAAAGAGCAAAUGGAAAGUGGAAGAACCAAUGAAAGUGGGGGAACCAAUUUUGGAGGGAAAAUGAAAAGUCAUUGCAAAAGUGCAAAUCAAAGGUCAUUUUUACCAUAUUGGUAGAAGAAAGGAAAUUGUUGUCCUUAUAUUAGGAAACACUUCCUUUAGUUCUUAAAGGGUUAAGAAGAAGGUGCCCCCUCGCGCCGUCGUCGUCGCUCGCUCGGCCUCGGCUUCGGUGAUUGAUUGAUAAUAUGUUUGGACAAAAUUUAUUUAAUCAAUCUUGUUAAAUCAUUUCCUUUCUCUUAUAAAUAAAUUCAGAAUGUUAAUUAAAUAACGGAAUUAAUUUCACAACGAUUUAUUUGAAAUUCACGCGUAACGGUAAAUUCGUUUGAAAGGAUUUGUUCCUUCCGAAAAGUCGUUACUUUUCCAAACGGUUUUCCUUCCGAAAAAUCGUUACUUUUCCCAAAGGACACAAUGUUCUGGCAAAAANNNNNNNNNNNNNNNNNNNNNNNNNNNNNNNNNNNNNNNNNNNNNNNNNNNNNNNNNNNNNNNNNNNNNNNNNNNNNNNNNNNNNNNNNNNNNNNNNNNNNNNNNNNNNNNNNNNNNNNNNNNNNNNNNNNNNNNNNUUUUUCAAACACUGAAAAUUUUUCCUCUCUGCAUACAUUUUCUUACAUAAAUAAAAAUUGUCGAUCGACUGAGUCUGUGUGUGCUCUUGUUGCUGUUCUUGCGUUCGCUGAAGUUAUUGAAGUUUGAGGUACCGCUACUUCUUUAACAGGUUAAUCCGUUUUAUCUUGGGAGGAAUUAAUCUGCAACCUCGGGUACAGUAAGGGGAUUAAAUUUCUUAAGGAAACACAGUGAUUUCUGUGGACUCGGAUUAAAAAUCAUUCUGUCUAUUUCAUCUUUUUUCUGUUUCUGUAUUUUUGACUAACCUCAAUACAGGAGAUAACCGGAAACCAAAAAAAUAAAUAAGUUAUGGCCUAGUUGUGGUGUAUUUCAUCAGAAAGGUGGAACAUGAGGGGAAACCAAUUUUAUCUUCAAAAUUAAAUUUGUACUUAUUUUCUAAAAAUUGCAAAGGAAUAAACUUAUACAUCUCCUAAUCAGUGAAGUCCAAAACUUUAAAUUCCUUUUCUUAGGAACACAUACAAGAUUCGUCAGUACAAAAAGUAUAAUGGUAACCCUACCAUUAACUACUUCAUUUAUGAAUUUCAUAGUAAUAGAAAUACAUGUCCUAACGAGACAGAAUUUGGAACUUGCUAUCCUCUUGCCUAGCAGGCAAAGAUUUACCUCCGUGGAAAAGAUGAUUCAUUGCCUCUAUUUCGGCCAGGUACAUGAUCCCGAUAGUUUCGUUUUCAAUCUUAAUGCAGGAGCGUAAAUCCUAUCCCAGAAACAAACUAAAUACAGGUAUCUCCUUUCCACUUUCGAGCUCCCCUACUUUUCUUUUCUAAUACUUUAAGCAAGUGACAAUUUACCUAAAUUUAAAGGGGGCAGAAAGCUAAAGGGAAAUUUGGCCUAAACUAAAGGGGAUAUGGGCUAUUAGUUAUUUUGGGAGAAUGAGUAUUUGUUGAAUUAGAUUGGUUUACGCUACAGAAUUAUAAUUAAUUUAUAUUUUAUGUUCUAUUUACGUAGUUUCCCCUAAAAUCUAAGCGUGCCUACUGACCCUUUUUUUUUCCUUUUAUUUAUUUUCACGUUUGCUGACAAGGAAGGCAUGUAAAUAGAACUUUGUAGUAUUAUUUUAGCCUAGACCAAAUUAAAGUGGAUAAAGAAAGAAGGCGGGUUAAGCCAUGAUUUUUAUUUUUAUUUUUUUGGAAUUGAACUUUAUGAAUCAAGUUUGGUUAAAAAAUUCAAAAUUUAACUUCAAGUUGAUAUUUCAGAAUUUUCAAAAAAUUGAAAAAUAACAACAAAAAAAAAAAUGUUUUCUCCCUUUUCACUCUAAAUUAUCCAUAAAAAUAAGUGUUUUCAGGAAUUCUUCUCAAGACAUGUUUUAUAUUUCUAGUCGUUAUGAAAUGUGAUCCUUUUCUUUAGUGUCUGAUUCGAAGAAUCAUUUUAUAUAAAUACUUAUACAAAUGAUGGCGGGAAAGUAAAACGUAGUAAGGUAAGACUUGAGAGUAUGAAUGCUACAACAAAAAAAUUGUGAUUUUAGCAGAUUAAAAUUAAUCUUGUUCUUUGCCGCCUCAUCCUAUUUUCAUUUUUGUAAUUUUUGCGUGUUUAAAAAAAUUUAUCCUACUUUUAAUAAAUAAGAAGUAUUAUACUAUCUUACCUUUAGUAAAUGUCUUGAAGAUUAAAAAAAGUUCUUUAAUGAUGUAAACCUCCCUGUAUUAACAUAAGAGUAAUUUUGGACGAAAAAAAUAGUUCUUCUUAAUUAUAUAUAACAAAACAUAUUUUGAAACAAAAUGAAAAAGGUAAAAAGCACUAUACUUAUUUUGAAAAUGAAAGAGGGAUUACUUUCAUGGUUUCAUUUAUACUAUGGUGUUUGACGGAACAUGAAAUUUACAAAUAUAUUUUUCAUGUACAUGGUAAGAUAGAGAUAAGAUUAUGUCACGUCAUCUUCUUGGGAGGUCUAUCAUAUAAAAAAUUACACCGAAUAUAAUAUUUUUAUUAUAUAUAAAAACAGUACUAUAAUAUAAUACAUUAUCGAUUUAAUAUUUUUCAACCACAAAGAUAAUACAACUGUUUUUUUAAAAAGCAAAUACCAAGAACUUGAUAAACUAGACAAUUAAGCAAUUAAAAAAAAACUAACAGCUCUCUUCCUCCAUUUUGCCCUUAUUAUCAGCAUACUUUUGAAGAUUUUCACCAUGCAACUUGCCAUACCUAAACUCAUCAAAAAUUUCAACUCCCAUAUUUAUGUAAAAAUCAUAUGACUUUUUAUUCCAAACUGAUACUAUUCCCUCUACCGAUACGAACCCAUUGUUGGCAGCAAUGGAUGCAACUGUUCCAAACAACAAACUCCCCAUUCCCAAUUUUCUGUAACUCUCCCUCAAGUAAAUCCGGGAUUGUCAUUAAUGAAGCACGCGUAGAACAAAGCAUACCCCGCUAUGUAAGCAUCAUCAUAUUUUGAUCGGAACUCCUCAACUUCUCCUUCUACGACAGGGAAUUUAAGGUCAAACGUUGUAAGGACAGGCUUGAACCCUUCGUUUGUGGUAUUUUUGGGUUCGUUAAAAGGGGUUGGAGAGACUUCAAGUAGAAGUACGGAUGGCCCGUAGAAAAGUGGAAGAGGAUUUUCUUUAAAGAGUAAGUUGGCUAAGGAGGACUCGGUAGCUUUGUACAAAUGAGUGUAGCUAUGGUAUUCAUGGAUUUGGUAAAACAAUUGAUAAAUAUGAGACAAAUCAGCUUUUGUAGCGAGACGGACUCUUGUGUAUAUCUUUCCGGUGAUGAUAACAUUGUCGUUGUUGGAUUCGGAUGAUGCAUGGGUGGUUAUUGUUUCAGAUGGAGUUGGUUGUUCAGUAGCAGGAGCCAUGGGAAAUUAUUUAGUUAAAUUUAAGGGGAAUGAGGUUUCAGAUAAAAGGUUUAAUGAUGGGAUAUUGUGUGGAAAUACUUUGGGAUCAUAAUGGUUAUUUAUAGUGGAGAAUUUGGUCCCUAUUUUAAAAUUCAUUAUUUACAUAUAAUUCUUUUGAUUAUUUUAUUUCAAUAAUAAGGAAUAAACUUUUUUGUAACCGUCUCAUCAUAUUUGUUUUUUGUAACGAUAUGGUUCAAUUGAUUUGUGUUGGUGUAAUAUACCACAAAUUACAAUAAAUUACAUUUGAAAAUAAAAUGAUAAAAAUGAAUAAAUAAAUCUUUAGGCUAAUGCGCUGAUAUCUCGCUCUCUUUAUGGAGAUUCAAGCUCAUUGCGAUAUAAUCUACACCGAUUCAACAGUAAUACUCUUGAGUCUUGACUUGUCUUCUCCGAGUUACAACAGCCCAAUAACGUCGUACAACUCAAGCAACUCCGAAUUUAGUUGAAGAGUCCAAAGUUCUAUAAAAGAACACAUUCCUUCAACAUAUAAUUACUCUCUUUAGUAUAGUGAGUAUAGUUGAAGACUUAGAAUAUUACUCCCCUAAUCCGUAUUACUAUUUCUAGAACUUAGAAUCUUGGGUAAAUAUCGUUGGGGGAGGGUUUUGGCAUGAAGUUGAUGGUAGGAAAAGCCCUAGUUGAACAUUAGGAUCAUGUGUCUGGUCUUGGGUUGAUAAUGUUUUUAUUUAAAAAGAUAUAUACAAGGAAAAUGAUUGAGUUUUCGAAAAAUCGAUUAAACUUAUGAUUUAAGUGAAAUCGAAUUUCCAAAAGGAUAGAGUCGCCACUUUAUUUUUAGUAAAAAAUCAAGAAAAAUAUAAGGUUUUUCAAAAGAUUCAAACAGAUAAAAUCAAUUGAAAAUGAAAGGGUUCAAAGUUCAAUGUACAUUCCGAGAAGGUGUUAGGCCCUCGGAAUGCCCGCUAACUCGCGGUUGACCGGCGAUUUGACCAAAAUGAUUUUUGACUAAUUUUGAAAUUUUAACGAAGUAAAAGAACUCAUUUAUUUUAACUAAAUAUUUUUAAAAUUUAACUAAGUAAAGAACACACAACUUUGACUUACCCUUUUUUUCUAAAAAAAAUUUUAGCUAAGCAAAUGAACUUAUUUAUUUAUUACUAUUAUUAUUAUUAUUAUUUUAUUUAUCUUAAGGGGGGAUGAACUAAAGGGGAAUUUUCUAAAGAGGGGAGGGGGGUAACUCAACUAUCGACAAAAACUAAAAUAGAGCUAAGUAAUAAAUAAGUUGUAUAAGAAAGGAUAAAUAUUUUAACUUUUGAAUAUAAAGAGAAACGACUAUCUUCGAAAAAUUAAUUAAGUUAAAACCAAUUCAUAUAAAGAGUUAGUCACUAAAAUAACAAGUAAAUACAAGAGGAGAAAGGAGAAAAUUUGAACUCGGGCUUUUGCCCAAAUUCGGGGAAAAAAUAGACUUUGCAACUAACUUUGAAGAUUAAUUCGAGAAGAAAGGAUGUAACAAAAAUAAAUCAUUUAAUUUAAAUGUUUUGAAAUCAUUUAGAAAGAAAAGUAAACUUUUUCAAAAUGGUCAAGUAAAGAAAACUAAUUAAAUAAGACGAAAUAAGUUAUCAUAAUCAAAAGUGGUUCAUCUUUAGGGGAUUAAUUAAGUUAAAUAACCAAAUCACAUAAAAUGGGUUAGAGAAUUAAUACAAAUAAAUAAAUAAUGGCAAUAACAAAGAGGAUGCCCAAAUUUGGGCCAAAUCUGAUGGACUUUAGGCCCAUUUUCGCCCCAGAGACCUGUGUAUACCAAAGGCGUAUAUCGAUGUAUAUAAGCUAUAUUUCGAUCCAUUUUUGUGUAUAUCGGACCAUGUAUCGAAUAUAUACAGUCCACUUCAAAUUUCCAGCACCUGUAUCGUCACUUCAGACCUGUAUAUCGCUUCUCUUUCUAUGUAUACAUGAUGUGUACGAGUGUAUACAUCAUGUAUACUGCUCUCUUUUGGGCUUUUUAGGAUCUGAAAAUUCAGUUUCCAGCCCUUGUACUACUUGUAACCUGUUCACCGG
rnacentral:lncRNA from 1 species